rnacentral:lncRNA from 1 species
CGGGUACUUCGGACUUCAGUGAACUUUCCCGAAGUAACUUCGCGAGAGUGUGGUGCUCGCUUUAAAAGGAAUAUAUGGAAUUACUGUAAAAUUAAAAGUGUACAAGGUAAAACAAGUACUUUUGCAAAUUUUGUGAUAGUCAAUACUUGAAAAAUGCAA